rnacentral:rRNA from 1 species
UACGAACUGUGCGAACGUUAUUCGGAAUCACUGGGCUUACAGGGUGCGUAGGCGGCUUAGCUAGUCAGGUGUGAAAGCCCCCGGCUCAACCGGGGAAGGGGUGCCGAAACGGCCGGCCUGGAGGGGCGUAGGGGGACCUGGAACUUCCGGUGGAGCGGUGAAAUGCGUUGAGAUCGGAAGGAACGCCCGUGGCGAAAGCGAGGUCCUGGACGCCAUCUGACGCUGAGACGCGAAAGCCAGGGGAGCGAACGGG